rnacentral:rRNA from 1 species
GGGGAAUUUUGGACAAUGGGGGCAACCCUGAUCCAGCCAUGCCGCGUGAGUGAAGAAGGCCUUCGGGUUGUAAAGCUCUUUCGGCCGGGACGAAAUCGCAUGGGCUAAUACCCUGUGCGGAUGACGGUACCGGAAUAAGAAGCACCGGCUAACUACGUGCCAGCAGCCGCGGUAAUACGUAGGGUGCGAGCGUUAAUCGGAAUUACUGGGCGUAAAGCGUGCGCAGGCGGUUUUUUAAGAUAGGCGUGAAAUCCCCGGGCUUAACCUGGGAACUGCGCUUAUGACUGGAAGACUAGAGUACGGCAGAGGGGGGUGGAAUUCCACGUGUAGCAGUGAAAUGCGUAGAGAUGUGGAGGAACACCAAUGGCGAAGGCAGCCCCCUGGGCCGAUACUGACGCUCAUGCACGAAAGCGUGGGGAGCAAAC